GAUGAACGCUGGCGGCGUGCCUAAUACAUGCAAGUCGAGCGAACGGACGAGAAUCUUGCUUCUCUGAUGUUAGCGGCGGACGGGUGAGUAACACGUGGAUAACCUACCUAUAAGACUUGGAUAACUUCGGGAAACCGGAGCUAAUACCGGAUAAUAUUUUUAAUCGCAUGGUUCAAAAGUUAAAUACGUUCUUGCUGUCACUUAUAGCUGGAUCCGCGCUGCAUUAGCUAGUUGGUAAGGUAACGGCUUACCAAGGCAACGAUGCAUAGCCGACGUGAGAGGGGGAUAGGCCACACUGGAAGUGGGACACGAUAAAGACGCAUACGGGAGGCAGAAGUAGGGAAUCUGCCGCAAUGGGCGAAAGCAUGAAGGAGCAACGCCGCGUGAGUGAUGAAGGUCUUCGGAGCGUAAAACUCUGUUAUUAGGGAAGAACAUAUGUGUAAGUAACUGUGCACAUCGUGACGGUACCUAAUCAGAAAGCAACGGCUAACUACGUG
rnacentral:rRNA from 1 species